rnacentral:SRP_RNA from 1 species
GCUGGGUAUGGUGGCUCAUGCCUGUAAUCCUAGCAGUUUGGGAGGCCGAGGCGGGUGGAUCGCCUGAGCUCAGGAGUUCAGCCUGGGCAACAUGGUGAAACCCCGUCUCUA